ACCGAUCGUGUACCUGACGCCACUCAUACAACCCCAGACACCAACAACAAUGCUGGGAAAAUAGUGGGCAGUGUUGGUGUACUUGUGCCAAGUCUUCUACUUUACCUCAGUCUCCUCCUGCUUCAUUGAGAAGGAAGGAGUCACAGUAAAAUGGCUGCUGUGAUGUCCCUGAAUCUACCACCCUCCCAAACACCGGGAAUGGUUCAUAUACUUUAAAAGGAAUCUCUAUUACACGAUGAUUAGAAACCUCCUGAUGAAGAAUGUAUUGGUUCACUUCCAUUUGGGAGCUUGUGCUUAAGGAGUGGCCUAACUUGAUUACUUGUAUGUUUCAGUGUACUUCACAAAUCACUCCUAGUCUGAUCCUGAUUUAACUCAUUGCAACAUUCUCAUGUUAAAAUUCACCCAUAUGUAGGGUCUCUGAUUUUCUGGGUGAACAUGCCUCACAAAGCCAAUUUUGCCAGCUC